rnacentral:rRNA from 1 species
UACGGAGGAUGCAAGCGUUAUCCGGAAUUAUUGGGCGUAAAGCGUCCGCAGGUGGUUUAUCAAGUCUGCUGUCAAAGCGCGAGGCUUAACUUCGUAAAGGCAGUGGAAACUGAUAGACUGGAGUGCGGUAGGGGCAGAGGGAAUUCCCAGUGUAGCGGUGAAAUUCGUAGAUAUCGAGAGGAACACCGGUGGCGAAGGCGGCCUUCUGGACAGUGACUGACGCUGAGACGCGAAAGCGUGGGGAGCAAACAGG